UGAGCACCUCUGCAGCAGAACAACCUAGCAAGGCAGAAAGAAACACGUUUGACAUAUGAACCUAAGCCAUUUAUAUGAUGUCAGCAUUUCAACUUGUGGUUUAGACCUACCAAGAAGGAGGAGACAUUGAUGGAGUUAAUUGGGAAACUGGGUGAACAUGUGAAACAGACAUCUACUGGAGUUAAUGGGGAAACAAAGCACAUCUGGUGCAGGAUACCCAAAAUGUAAAAAAAAAAAAGUCAAAGGCUAGGAGAAUGUUAAGGAGGAACGAUUACCUGAUUCCUCCCUUCCCCCCAUUAUGAACUUGUGAGCACUGCUGGAGACAAUACAAAGCUAGAUGGCAUACAAGGCCCUUGUACAAAGAUUAAUAGGUCAUUAAACAGGCUGGGAAAUUCCUGAUUAACUUAAGAUUCUACUUGAAGGCUGACACAGAUUUUAAAUCAAAAACAAUCUGAUAAACUUUUUAUCUUCAGAAAAAAGUAUUUCCUGGAAAUGUUUUCCAGAGAAUGGUUUUACACUGAGACAGGGGAGGUUUAGGUUAGAUAUUAGGAGAAAGUUUUUCACACAGAGGGUGGUGAUGCACUGAUGAUGCACAGGUUGCCCAAGGAGGUUGUGGAUGCCCCAUCCCUGGAGGCAUUCAAGGCCAGUCUGGAUGUGGCUCUGGGCAGCCUGGUCUGGUGGUUGGAGACCCUGCACACAGCAGGGGUGUUGAAACUCGAUGAUCACUGUGAUCCUUUUCAACCCAGACCAUUCUAUGAUUCUAUGAAAUGUCCCAUAAUCCAAACUGGCUGGGCUAAAUCCCUAUUCACCUCUUCUCUGAGCAGAAACAACCUUCUUGGCAGAGUAAACUGAGUACUAAACAAAGUACUGUCCUUCUGAUUAUCUGGUAAGGGGGAGGAGAUGAAGCAAAGAAGGCUGAGACAACUCCAGAAGUCUUAAAAGUAGUCAUAACAUCAAAUCAGUCAGUGAAAAAUGUGGAUUUUCUACGUUUUAAUUUAUUCCUAAAAUUCCCUGGAAUUUUCAUUGACCAGACCAUUGUUCAUGAUCUGCAUGUGUUAGAGAAGCAGCAG
ensembl:lncRNA